CCUGACCUCAGGUGAUCCACCCGCCUCAGCCUCCCAGAGUGCUGGGAUUACAGGCGUGAGCCACUGAGCCCUCACCAAAGUCUUGACAGUGACUCCAGGGACUACAAUAACUUGGUGAUUUUCACUUUCUCUGAAAUGUUGGAAUUUUAUAUUACAGUAUUAACUUGGAUUUGGCUUGGCCCGGUGGCUUGUACCUGUAAUUUCAGCUCUGGAAGGUGAGGCAGAAUUGCUUGAGACCAGGAGUUCGAGGCUGCAUUGAGCUAUGAUUGUGUUACUGCACUCCAGCCUGGGUGACGAAUGGAGACAUUGUUUCAAAAAAAGAAAAAUAAAUGCAAUUAAAAAUAAAAAUAAACCUGAAUUUGUAUGGAGGUUAAGGAAGAGUAUAUCUCAGUUUGAAACAUUAUGAAGCUAAGCCCCAAACCCAAAUAGUUAGAGAUUUUUAAAUACCAAAGUGUUAAUUAAAACUCAACACCAGAAACUCUCUUUUAAGAGUAUCCUUCAUAUUUUCAUGGCAUUGACUCUUUCUUAGUGUCUUUGACAGAAAUGUUUUUAGUGGAGUAGAGAUACAUGUAAUAAAAUUUACAGAAGGGCUAUAAUAAAGAGGGAAACGCAAAAUCGAGUCUGACACAGGAGACCCUGUUCCAUUUAUACUCAAAGCAACUUUGAAAACUGCGCCGUCAUGGUGUCUUUGGGUUGAGACAAAGUCGAAGCAAAUUUUGUUCCUAGAGUAUUGAUUUCCCCUUUCCAAUGGCUAAAGGCUUUCGGAACUAGUCUGAAAACUCAGGCUCUGACUUUGGAUCUAAAGAAGUGUCAAGAAUGUGCGGGCAGUGGCGCUGCAUGAAUCUAGCGGGUCUGGGCGAUGCUCUCUCCGGCUCUACCCAGUAGCAAUUGCGAGGACUUCUCAUGAAGUACAGACUCCUCCACCUCCAGGAAAAAGAGACAAAGUCCACUGAGAAGGACCUGAGGGAUGCCUGUGACCCCGCCCCUGAGAAAAGAAACAAAUUCCUUUCCACCCAAAAUAUGACAGCGCCUGUGGUCCAGGGCUGGAGCCCAUAGUGGAUGCCCAGCAGCCAACUUCCUGGAAUUGAGACCUCCCCAGCAGGCUUGGGGGUGAAAAGAGAAACUAGACUCCAAAAGGGACACCAGUGCUCUGUUGGGGAGAGAGGAGCACACCACUGCAUCCCACCCUGAAGAAUGGGAGUGAGAAGAGAGGACAGGUGAACCCACCAUGGCUCCAGUGAGAUGGGAGCGGGGAACGCCCAAGAAGGAGGACAGCCAUGGGGUGGCCCCAGCCAAAGCCACCAGACAUCAUUACAUGUCUGGGGCCCUCUCAGGCCGACAUGAGUUUUACUGCUCCACACACUGUUUUGUUAAGAGCUAGCUGUCAGUAGAUCAGUGAGAGAGCAACUUUGAUACAGAGGAAACCAUGCCUGAAAUGGGUCAGCCCAGAAGAAUUUAGUAGUAGGUUCUAUGCUUCCCUCCAGGGCCUCAUGGGCGUGGGCAACUUUUUUUUUUUUCCAGCCACUCACCCUAGGUAAUGAAGAAAGCUCUCUGAACUGUGUCCUUGCUGGGCACACAGGCCCCUACCACAUGUACAUGGCAUGGGAGUCAUGGCUAAGGCAGGGUAAGACUCCUAUUUGAGGCCAGGAAAAGCUAAUGACCCUACAUUUGGUUCAGUCCUUGUGGGGUCCUGACUAGGGUGUGGGCCACUGUGUUCCCACAGAUGCUCUGUUAGCCCUUAGGCUGUGAGAUACACAGGCAAAUGUUAUAUUGAAGCCUUUGUUUCUCUUACACGGAGGCAACACUACUGCAGCAGAGCAAACCUUAUUGUAUCAGUGCACCAACCCCAAGUUCAUGUUCAUUACAGCAGGAAAAACUAACAUGUGGUGAAUUCUGCCUCCACAAGGGACAAGGACCUGAUAAGACUACAAUGACCAGGAUGGCCAAUAUCCCUGUCUUCUUGCAACUCAAACUUUGCCUGGUUACCACCUACUUGCCCCAACUCCUUGGACUCCAGCCCUCCGAGGACAGCCAGACAUCUGAAGGAAGUGCCAGGCACAGAUGCCAGGUUGCAUAAGUGCUGGCCCCUGAGCAACUGGAGAAGCUGUUAGGUCCCAGCUGGCCUAGAGAUCCCUGGCUCAGGGAGUAUAACUGGAUGCCUUGAACAAAGACAUGGGGUCACUGGAAAGAGAGGACCGGCUGUCCCUCCCCACUAAGAAAUAAUUAACUGUUAGAUGAGGGGGAAUUCCUUUUCAAGGGCUCUGUGGACUGUGCUGCUCUGGAGGGGGUGGGGAGAGGGAGGAGCCCUGAGGUCUGGGCUGGGGUGUGGUUGGGAAGGAGCUGAGAGCUGAGAGCUGUAACUACACAAGGAGCUGCAGGGGUGAGGUUGGUGCAGGGUGGGAUUUAGAGGAUUUCCCCCAGACUCCUGUGCUGAUCCCCUUCAUCUCCUCCACCCCCACCCUUGGUGUCUGUCAACAUGCGGGGGUGCCCUCAUCUUCCCACUGCCCCUGGAGCUGUUCUACUCUUCCACGCUUGCCUUGGGGUUUUCAGAGCAGCAUCUUUGUGAGUCCUGGAGUGCUAGGGACCAGGAGGGGAGAGGAGGCAAUAGCCUCCUUUAAUUUGGCAACAGCUUUUCGUUAUCAUCUCCACUUUCCAAGGCAGGAAAAGUGAAGGCAACAGCUCUGAGAGAUCCUGGAAGAGGAAAAACCAUGGCGGGUGAGGCAGGGAGCUGUCUGAGUUUCCUAGCAGACAUCAGGAGCCCGCCCUUCCAGGCCUGGGCUUUGCUUCAGUGCCUGGCCCUGCAUAGGCCCCUGCCCCUGUCCCGUUCUGCUGCCCCCACCUCCCUCUCAGCCUGGCCCCAGACAGAAUCCAGACCAACUCCUGUCUGCUGUGAAAAAUGUUCCUGCCAGUUUAGGCAGAUCUUGCUUUAGAGCACUGGUGCCCAGCCUUCCACAGGUCUUGUGUCUGUUUUUCUUGGCACUAUGUUUCUUCUCAUGUAUUCUUCUGAAUUGGCAAGGCAGGAAUUACAUCACUGGUUUGCAGAUGAGGAAACUGACUCAUAUGGUUUCAUUCAGCACUCAUUCACUGUGAAAGUGUCUGUCAGGGCCAAUUGUGGGCCAGAUGUGCCCAGGGUUCUAUAGCUAGCUGGUGGAAAGGCCUGAAGGGUUCAUAUUCAGGUCCACUUGACUUGAAAACUCAUAUUGACCUUACUUAUGUACUAAUUCCCACUUUACAAUCCAUGCCACAAACUUUAUUGUCUUAAGAAGUUGCCACAGCAGCCUUCAGCAGCCACCUUGUCAUCAGUCAGCAGUCAUCAACAUUGAGGCAAGACCCUACUCCAGCAAAAACAUUAGUAUUAGCUGAAGCCUCAGAUGACU